UACGAAGGGGGCUAGCGUUGCUCGGAAUCACUGGGCGUAAAGCGCACGUAGGCGGCUUCUUAAGUCAGGGGUGAAAUCCUGGAGCUCAACUCCAGAACUGCCUUUGAUACUGGGAGGCUCGAGUCCGGGAGAGGUGAGUGGAACUGCGAGUGUAGAGGUGAAAUUCGUAGAUAUUCGCAAGAACACCAGUGGCGAAGGCGGCUCACUGGCCCGGUACUGACGAUGAGGUGCGAAAGCGUGGGGAGCAAACAGG
rnacentral:rRNA from 1 species